rnacentral:rRNA from 1 species
UACGGAGGGUGCAAGCGUUGUCCGGAUUUAUUGGGUUUAAAGGGUGCGUAGGCGGUUCUUUAAGUAAGUGGGGAAAGCCUCCAGCUUAACUGGAGAAAUGCCAUUGAUACUGAAGAACUUGAGUACAGACGAGGUAGGCGGAAUUGACAGUGUAGCGGUGAAAUGCUUAGAUAUGACUUAGAACACCAAUUGCGAAGGCAGCUUACUAAACAGAUAUUGACGCUGAGGCACGAAAGCGUGGGGAUCAAACAGG